CUUUUGUCCUGACUCUAUUUCAGAUGCGGAUGGAUAAAAUCGGAGCAGAGCGCCCUAUCCCAGGAAGUAAAGCCAUCUAGCAGCAGACAAGGCAAAGUGGGCAAGGCGGUCCACUUGCAACCCAAUCCGGCCAAGGAUGCCCGAUGUCAGUGCUGUUGCCGUCCUUGGUGUGCCAAGGAACAGAGGUGUCUUCCGGGCAGACUCGAGUCAAAUCAAGAUUUGAGGUUUGUAGCCAAAGUUUGGAAAGAGCAGCACCGAAGCACAUGACAACGUCCCAGCGUCCACGUCCAACCGGCGAUGGAUUUUGUCAGCUCAUCUUCCCAAAGCUAAGUGUUGGGGCCCAUACUUGCAGGGAGGGAAAAAGCCUUUACUCUCACAGGGGGAAAUCUGAUGUUAACUUAGUGGAGUAGUCUGUAGUGGAACAGGUCCCUCGGAAGUAAAGGGAGAGGGGUUCUCCUCAGUAAAGGGUGAGGGUUUCUCCUCAGCCUCACCAGAGCCUUUGCCGGGCAGGGCAGUUCUGACCCGCCUCCACGUUCUCGUGGACUUUGCGUCAUCAGCCUCCUUCGACCCUCGACGUCGUCGCGGGCCUUUCUCCCGAGGAGCUCGCCUUCAGGUCCGGAGUUAUAGCCACCAUCACCCGGCAGUCUUUGCUUCCUUCUGUAGGCCCACCGAGCCUCUCAAGCAUCCUCUUAACUGCUUUGGCAGCAACUCCUUUCAAGGAGUUGUUUCAUCAUCACACACUCUUGCCAUAGGACUCGCUUUCCUUCGGCAUCUUUGGCCUCUGGCUCAUCUCGCACUAGAAAUCUUGAGUCCAUAAGGUGAAACUGCCAG